CUACGCAGUGUGCGGCCACGACAACCUUUCCCCUACUUCCUCCCUAUCUCCUGAGCGGACCUCAGACCUCGGACCGCUGGGGGGCUGACUGGGGAUCCAAUCCAAGGCCUCACAUGGGCUAGGCAAGUGCUCUACCACUGAGCUAUAUCCCUGGCCCCUGGCCUCGCACUAUGGCUUUGGGCUAAUUUUCAAUCUCAAACUUCCUUGAAGAGUUGUACAAAUAUCAUGAAAUACUAGGACAGAUUUUUGUUGUUGUUGUUUCAGUACCUUCCUCUCUGUAACCAAAGGCAGCUCUGCAGACAUUAUGACAUUUGUGACCCAGUUUUGGCAAAGAAUUAAGUACAAGAGAAUCAGAUUGUAAUGAUCUUGGAGAUGUGCCCCUCAGAUUCCCUAUCCAGCUACUGUGGACGCUGUCAGGAGACAGUCUUCAGGUGGUGACCUCUUCUGGGAUUGCUUUAGCCGUGGAGAAAUGCUGCACCUAAGGUUAUAGCAAAUAAAGCACAAGUCCCUAUUACAUACCGCACUGCAACAUCAAAAUGCACAGAUUGUCCUACUGGAAAAGUUCUACUGUAAGGAAAAAUGCAGCUCAGCACGGGACCCACGGUGGCUCCAGCCCUUCCGACGGAACUGGUGCUCCGCAUGCCCAGUCUCAGUUGUGGCUCAACAAUAGCUCCCAGAAAAUCCACAACAGACACAGGACCUCACACAAGAGACUUUAUUAUGCAGACGACUAGCGUGUCCACUCCGGGGGUUGGAAAAGAAGGGAAAAAGAGAGAUGGCUUUGACGCUUCUCCCGGAUAUGGGAAUCUCCCAGGCUAGAAGGAACCAAUAGUGGAGGAGAAUACUUGCAAGUUGACUGAUGAACCAAUAGCUAGCUAGCAUGUUCAGACUGACAAGCUAGGAUGUAACGUGGGAAGCAGGAAAUGGCUGUAGCCUAGGCCGGAAAUUCCUGCAAUGUAAGGGGCGGGCAGAGCAACUUUCAGACUGGCAAG